rnacentral:rRNA from 1 species
AUUGAACGCUGGCGGCAUGCCUUACACAUGCAAGUCGAACGGCAGCACGGGAGUAAUCCUGGUGGCGAGUGGCGAACGGGUGAGUAAUGUAUCGGAACGUGCCCAGUCGUGGGGGAUAACGCAGCGAAAGCUGUGCUAAUACCGCAUACGAUCUGUGGAUGAAAGCAGGGAAUCGCAAGACCGCGCGCGAUUGGAGCGGCCGAUAUCAGAUUAGCUAGUUGGUGGGGUAAAGGCUCACCAAGGCGACGAUCUGUAGCUGGUCUGAGAGGACGACCAGCCACACUGGAACUGAGACACGGUCCAGACUCCUACGGGAGGCAGCAGUGGGGAAUUUUGGACAAUGGGCGCAAGCCUGAUCCAGCAAUGCCGCGUGCAGGAUGAAGGCCUUCGGGUUGUAAACUGCUUUUGUACGGAGCGAAAAGGCUCUCUCUAAUACAGGGGGCUCAUGACGGUACCGUAAGAAUAAGCACCGGCUAACUACGUGCCAGCAGCCGCCGUAAUAC